rnacentral:rRNA from 1 species
CACGUAGGGGGCAAGCGUUGUUCGGAAUUACUGGGCGUAAAGGGCUCGUAGGCGGCCAACUAAGUCAGACGUGAAAUCCCUCGGCUUAACCGGGGAACUGCAUCUGAUACUGGAUGGCUUGAGUUCGGGAGAGGGAUGCGGAAUUCCAGGUGUAGCGGUGAAAUGCGUAGAUAUCUGGAGGAACACCGGUGGCGAAGGCGG